rnacentral:rRNA from 1 species
GUCUACAGCCAUGCCACCCUGAACAAGCCCGAUCCUGUCUGAUCUCAGAAGCUAAAGAGGGUUGGGCCUGGUUAGUACUUGGAUGGGAGACCACCUAGGAAGACCAGGUGCUGUAGGCA